ensembl:snoRNA
GUGCCCUUUAAAGGUUGAUGCAGUGCUUCAAGAUGCUACACGGAAAAGUAAAGAAAAGCUCUAGAGAAGAGGUUGCAAACACUUCUUUGGAUCCUGCCUGGAAAUCACAAUU